AAGUCGUAACAAGGUUUCCGUAGGUGAACCUGCGGAAGGAUCAUUAUUGAAUGAACUUGGUGUGGUUGUCGCUGGUUCUCUCGGGGGCAUGUGCACACCCACCAUCCUCAUCUCUCCACCUGUGCACCUCUUGUAGACUUGGACUUGACUUUCCGAGGCAACUCGGUCGGGAGGACUGCUGGCAAUUCUGCCGGCUGUCUUUGCAUUUCCAAGUCUACGUUUUUCAUAUACCCCAUUGUAUGUAACAGAAUGUAUCAUUAGGCCUUUGUGCCUAUAAAACUUAUACAACUUUCAGCAACGGAUCUCUUGGCUCUC
rnacentral:misc_RNA from 1 species